rnacentral:rRNA from 1 species
GAAAGCAGGGGAUCGCAAGACCUCGCGCUCAUGGAGCGGCCGAUGUCGGAUUAGCUAGUUGGCGGGGUAACGGCCCACCAAGGCGACGAUCCGUAGCUGGUCUGAGAGGAUGAUCAGCCACACUGGGACUGAGACACGGCCCAGACUCCUACGGGAGGCAGCAGUGGGGAAUUUUGGACAAUGGGGGCAACCCUGAUCCAGCCAUGCCGCGUGAGUGAAGAAGGCCUUCGGGUUGUAAAGCUCUUUCGGCCGGAACGAAAUCGGGCGCGUGAAUAACGCGCCUGGAUGACGGUACUGGAAGAAGAAGCACCGGCUAACUACGUGCCAGCAGCCGCGGUAAUACGUAGGGUGCGAGCGUUAAUCGGAAUUACUGGGCGUAAAGCGUGCGUAGGCGGUUUCGCAAGUCAGAUGUGAAAUCCCCGGGCUUAACCUGGGGACUGCGUUUGAAACUACAAAGC